AUGCUUGCUUCAGCAGUACAUACACUAAAAUUGGAAUUAUACAGAGAUUAGCAUAGCCCCUGCAUGAGGAUGACACAGAAUUCAUGAAGUGUUUCAUCUUUUU
ensembl:snRNA U6 U6 spliceosomal RNA